rnacentral:rRNA from 1 species
GUGUCAGCAGCCGCGGUAAUACGUAGGGGGCAAGCGUUGUCCGGAUUUACUGGGCGUAAAGAGCGCGUAGGCGGGUAGGAAAGUCCGGUGUGAAAUCCCACGGCUCAACCGUGGAAGGUCGCUGGAAACUGCCUAUCUUGAGGGCGACAGAGGGAAGUGGAAUUGCUGGUGUAGCGGUGAAAUGCGUAGAUAUCAGCAGGAACACCCAUGGCGAAGGCAGCUUCCUGGGUCGCAACUGACGCUGAGGCGCGAAAGCGUGGGGAGCGAACGGGAUUAGAUACCCCGGUAGUCCACGCCGUAAACGAUGGUCACUAGGUGUAUGCGGUAUCGACCCCGCAUGUGCCGCAGCUAACGCAAUAAGUGACCCGCCUGGGGAGUACGGCCGCAAGGUUGAA